UGGGCGAUGAUCUAACACAAAAAAAAAAAGAAGAAUGUUCUUUUAUAUUCAAAACUUAUAAUUAUACUUUUUAUUUAUCAGAAACUUCCUAUCUGCAUCUUCACAAAAUUUCGUACGUUUUCUUUUUUUUUCCUAGGUUUUCUAAAUGAUAUUUGGGAAUGUUCGAAGUUCAUUAAACGAUUACGCGAUCGUACGCGUAUCGUCUCUUACAAAUAUUUUAACAAACGGGAGGAAAGGAAAAGGGGAAAGAGAAAAAAAAAUUAAAAAAAAAAAAAAAAGAAAAAACAAAAGAAGAGAACAGAAAUAUCAUAAAGCGAGUAUCGAUCGAUCUAGCAAAACAAAAAAAAAAGGGUGCAUCAAAUUGUGAGAAUAAAUAUAAUACUUAGAGAUAUAAAAGAGAAAAGAAAGAAGAAAAGGUACCACGCAAGUAAACGAAGGUUGCCAUUUGGACUCAUUAAUGGAAUGAUUUGUCUGAAUGAGACAUUGUUGCGUUCUUAAAGUCUUAUUGCUUGUUUAGGUUAUGUUUGAGAUUCGCCAUUAGAAAAUAUUCGUUUGUUUCGAUUGUCGUCCAAAUUUUUCUGGCAACGGUGACAAUUUUGUUACAAUAUUUGUUUUUCUUCUCUCCACGAAAAUAACAUUUAUUGCACGUUAAAUAAUACACGGAAUAUCGUUAAGUAAACUGAACAAAAAGUUUUCUUUCAUCGAUCAUUGAAAAACAAAACCGACAAGUCCAAAGUAUUCCGUUAAUCGCCAGAAAAGCAUAUACAUAUGAAGAAAGACGCGAACGUUUAGACAAAUUUCACGAGCUUAAUAUCAGUCCUUAAUAAUUUUCAAACGUAUGAAAAGAUUAUAGGACAUUGGUACCGCAUUAGCACCCAUUCUAAGUCCGAAGACAUGAAAUUUGAGAGAGAAAGAAAGAAAGAAAGAUAAAGAGAAGAAGAAGAAGAAGACAAAAAAGUAGUAACGAGAAAUUUACAAUAAUGAGACAGUGACGAUGCCUUGUACUGCUUGAUUAUCGAGUCGAAACGAAGUCAACGAAGUACACACCGAAAUUGGCACCCUGAGCUCUGGAAGUAUUAUACUUUUAAUAUUGGCUAUUCGUGAUUCAGGAUCUUCUGUAAUUCACGUUGAAACUUAACAAUAACACAGAGACAACACACGAUAAAGAUCUCAAACCGCUGUGGAUCGUGUAAAAUCCUGAAGUUACGGAAGCCUCGUCGGUGGUGGAUUGAACGGAACUCAAUGCACAAAC